rnacentral:lncRNA from 1 species
GCCAGAGAAGAAGGAGGGGGGGGAGGAGGAGGGAGAGAGAGUCCGAGGAUGAGGCUGCUGCCGAGGCCGCAGCUGUGUCGUGUGGUGGAUGGCUGAGCUGAGCUGACCACUCCACAGCCAUCCUUGCUCGUCUUUUCUUCUGGCGGAACCUGCGCCCCAGGCUUCAUGCAGAGAACGAACCGGGCCGAUGAGACGAAAGGGAGGGUGCUGGAGGCGGCGGCUGCCAGGGGGAGUUUCCCUUAUUAUUCCAAGGGGACCUGUGACAGGGGCUGUGAGGACAUAGCUCGGUGUCCCCAGGUAUCCGUUUGACCCUUUCUCCACGUAGGAGGAGUUUUUAGUUGGGCACCUGGCUGUGCAGCCAAGGACUGUGCUUCCCAGCCUCCCUUGCAGCUAAGUGUGGCCACGCAGCCAAGUUCUACCCACUGGUGUGAGUGGAAGUGACGUGUACAACUUCUGGGGCCGAGUCUGAAGGCCGAGGGGCGUGUCCUCCCUCCCCCCUUCCUGACGACUAGAAUACUUACUCGUGAUGAGGCAUCUCCAUCCUUGCAGUCCCACAGGACUGUGCCGGCUCCGCUGGACGGGGAGACGUGCCCGACGUCACGCAGGGGUGCGAUCUGAUCUACGUGCGCCCAUCACUCCUUGGAUAGUCCUCCAAAACCACAGCUGAGGCGUUUUGGAGUAGAAACAGAGAAAUCGGGACAGAGCCAUGAUUUGGGAGCAGGUCCAUUCUUCAGAGUCUUCCAGAACCUUCUGAGCCACACUCUCAACCACCACGCUCUACCGACCAACACCUUCUUUCCCCACGCCAAAGCUGUCUUUGGUGACUACGCAACACCCCGUCCUACAAGAGGUCAAGGUUGCGUGUCCUUCCUCCUUGUCCCCCACACUCGGGACGAGGCGAGGCAGAAGGAGGUGGCGGAGGUGGACGCAGAGAGGGCAGAUGCGGGCCAGGGUCAAUGCAACAGUUAAGGGACAAAUCCGGGAUUGGAAUGAGAGUGGGAGCAGUGAGCACGAUAAACGAACAGAAGAGCUGAACCCCGUCACAUUUUCUGAUUUCCUUCGCUGAUGGAUCUGCU